UGAAGCUCGACGCCAUCUUUAUGCCUCCGUUUUUGUUUACAAGCGUUUCUUGGCAACCGCUUUUCACAGCCUGUGUAGCCAAAGACAUCUGCAAAAAGCUAUCAUGGUGCCCAGGAUGGCAAACAGAAAAGUCAGCGAGACCACAGCCACAUCCAGGCAAUGGGCAAUGAAAGCAAGAGGAGAACCUUCUCCUCGGCGAAUCUCAAUGUUCCUCCGUAGAAACGAAGACAUGUAGUCGUGACUUUCCAAG